rnacentral:rRNA from 1 species
UACGUAGGUGGCAAGCGUUGUCCGGAUUUACUGGGCGUAAAGAGCGCGCAGGCGGUCGUUCAAGUCGCGUGUGAAAGCCCCCGGCUCAACUGGGGAGGGUCACGCGAUACUGAUCGACUGGAAGGCAGGAGAGGGUAGUGGAAUUCCCGGUGUAGUGGUGAAAUGCGUAGAUAUCAGGAGGAACACCAAUUGCGAAGGCAGCUCGCUGGGACGUUACUGACGCUGAGACGCGAAAGCGUGGGGAGCAAACAGG